rnacentral:tRNA from 1 species
GAAGUCUCUCUGGCUGGGAAAGAGUCAGUAGUAAU